rnacentral:rRNA from 1 species
CACGUAGGGCGCAAGCGUUGUCCGGAAUUAUUGGGCGUAAAGAGCUCGUAGGCGGUCUGUUGCGUCUGCUGUGAAAACUCGGGGCUUAACCCCGAGCCUGCAGUGGAUACGGGCAGACUAGAGGUAGGUAGGGGAGAAUGGAAUUCCCGGUGUAGCGGUGAAAUGCGCAGAUAUCGGGAGGUACACCGGUGGCGAAGGCGGUUCUCUGGGCCUUACCUGACGCUGAGGAGCGAAAGCGUGGGGAGCGAACAGG